GAGGGUAUAGCUCAAUGGUUGAGCACAUGCUUAGAAUGCACGAGGUCCUGGGUUCAAUCCCCAGUACUUCCU
rnacentral:tRNA from 1 species